GUCACGCCCUAACGAUGUCAACUGGUUGUUGGAGGGUUUCUUCUCAGUAACGAAGCUAACGCGUGAAGUUGACCGCCUGGGGAGUACGGCCGCAAGGUUGAAACUCAAAGGAAUUGACGGGACCGCACAAGCGGUGGAUGAUGUGGUUUAAUUCGAUGCAACGCGAAAAACCUUAACCUACCCUUGACAUGUCAAGAAUUCUGCAGAGAUGUGGAAGUGCUCGAAAGAGAACUUGAACACAGGUGCUGCAUGGCUGUCGU
rnacentral:rRNA from 1 species